rnacentral:rRNA from 1 species
CGUAGGGGGCAAGCGUUGUCCGGAUUUAUUGGGCGUAAAGAGCGUGUAGGCGGCCAGAUAAGUCUGCUGUGAAAACUCGAGGCUCAACCUCGAGCUGUCGGCGGAAACUAUUUGGCUAGAGUCCGGAAGAGGAAAGCGGAAUUCCUGGUGUAGCGGUGAAAUGCGCAGAUAUCAGGAAGAACACCCGUGGCGAAGGCGGCUUUCUGGGACGGUACUGACGCUGAGACGCGAAAGCGUGGGGAGCGAACAGGAUUAGAUACCCUGGUAGUCCACGCUGUAAACGAUGGAUACUAGGUGUGGGAGGUAUCGACCCCUUCCGUGCCGCAGUUAACGCAAUAAGUAUCCCGCCUGGGGAGUACGGCCGCAAGGUUG